GUGUUGUAUGAAAGGAGAGAGGGCUGGCACUUCUUUGGAUUAGCAUGGAAGAGGUUCUAGUGGCCUGUAGAACAUGCAUAUGGUAGUAUUUUGU